AUGGAGGUAGAAGAGGCCUCUCAGGCUCGUAGGCAAGCGGAGGAGGCCGCCACGAAGCGGCUGGAGGUGGCGUUGUCCUCCAAGCAUGAUCUGAAGGUCACCCUUCAGAAGGAGCAUGAUUCAUGUCAUUCCCUUCGUAAAGAUCUUGAGAAGAACAAAAACCACCUGGGCUUGCUGGAACGCGAUUUAGAGGCUGCGGAGAGGAAGUUGUGGCAGCAAGCCGAUGCGACUCAUGAUGUUGAACAGAAGUACGCCCGACUCCAGAGGGAGAGCAUGGAGAAGACUACACAGCUCGCUGAGGCUCAACAAAAUUGCUCCAACUUAGAAGCUGCUGCCAAGGGUUCAUGCCAUGGCGUUGUUUUUGAGCGUCUUUUCACCUUUUUAGGUUGGAUUUUCUUUGACAUGUUUUAUGUGGCCUGUCUUGCAGCCCCCCUUCCUAAGAUCCAGAAUGAUGAUGUGGAGAUCCGACUCCAAGAGGUCGCAACAGUGGCUGAGAGGAUGAGGACAACGCUCCUUGUAUCGCGACAACCCUCAUCUCAAAUCUGA
rnacentral:rRNA from 1 species